UAAUGCCAAGGUUAGAAGAGUGCACUUAUGGGGAAGGAUAAGAAAUAUUCUCACAACACACACAACAGCCUGUCAACCAGCAUGCUGAUGAAGACUUGAGUCUGUCUCUAAACCAAUUAAUGUGAAGCUUACAGGCAUCUUACAGGCUGUGCUUCUAGGUGGACUUCCUGUUUCCUAAUUGGACUUGUGGGCUCUAACCAUAUUGUAAUAUUGAACCUGGCUCUCCAGGUUCUCCCUGGUUCUCCCUCAGCUGUUUUUGUGGUGCAACAGUUACUACCAUUACCUCACAGAAAGAAGGUUCUUGGUACCUUCCUUGGCUGGGAUCUUUCUGAAUGGAGUUUACAUUUUCUUCACAUGCAUGUGCGAGUUCUUUCCGGGUUCCUCCCUCAGUAGGAAGACACAUAUAUUGGAAUAACUGGUGUUGCUAAAAUCUCCCUACAAGUGUUUUUUUUUUUUUUUUUUUUUUUGCAAUCGAUUUGUGACCUGUCCUGCCCCUUUCCUACCACCUGGAACAGGCUGCUGCCACCCUAUACAUCUGCCUUGGAAUAGGCAGGUAUAGACAACGGACUGAAGAGCAUCUGAGGAGGAAAAUUUGUGCAAUUCUUGGUUUGAAUCAUGUUAUAUGUCUGACUAAAAUCUGACUGUUUUUCUCAUUAUUGUACUUUUUGUGUGUUAGAAAAUACCAAACCUGUGAAUAGCUACUAUAAUUAUGUUGCUGCAGAGCAGACAGAAGGCCUUUGGUCUAUACGUGUUACUUUCCAGUGCAGUUGAGUAAUUAUUAAAUAGCUAAAAACUAUUUUUUGGUCUUGCUCCCAUUAAUUGAAUGUUCUGUUUAAUUUUAAUCAGCCUAGAGCUUAAAGCAAUUGUGGUUGGGCCCCUCCAGUCAUGCCACCUUUGUCUCAUUGUGUGAUGUAUGCUUUUUUGUACUUCUGGUUUGGCUUGCAACUCUUUGUGUGUCUGUGUGGAUGUGUU